rnacentral:rRNA from 1 species
UACAGAGUGAGCAAGCGUUACCCGUCCUAACUGGGUGUAAAGGGUGUGUAGGUGGAUAUUAUACAUAAGACUAAAUGAAAAUUGCUGUGUUUUGGCAGAUGUUUUUAGUACCAGGUAUCUUUGAGACAUAAAGAGAUUAUUAGUAUACGUGGUGGUUAAAUUUAGGAAAUUGCUUCAUCUCACGGGGACUACCAGCAGCGAAGGCGUUUAAUCUGUUAUGUUCUGACACUAAUGCACGAAAUCGUGGGGAGCAAAAGGG